rnacentral:rRNA from 1 species
CGGACUGAAGGCUGAAAUUCGCCUUCACGAAGUCGGAAUUGCUAGUAAUGGCAGGUCAGCAUACUGCCGUGAAUACGUUCCCGGGCCUUGUACACACCGCCCGUCACACCAUGAGAGUUAGGAAUACCCGAAGCCUGUGAGCUAACUUUUAGAGGCAGCAGUCGAAGGUAGAACUAAUGAUUGGGGUGAAGUCGUAACAAGGUACC